CCUGAAGAAGAAGAACUGCACUGCAGGCACAAAGAUGCAUAAGCUACAACUCUACCUCAAGAAGAAGCUGCAGCCACCCACUGUCUCCCCUCUGAUGUCACACACCUCACCUGUGAUGUCACACGCCUCACAUGCUCCUGCUGAAGCCAUUGUGAUGGAUGAAGAUGAAGAGCUGGAGAGGAUGAUGCUGAGCAUCUCUCCUUCAAAGCAACAUGUGCAGAGCUCUGUUUCUGCAUCUUCAUCAUCCUCCUC